rnacentral:rRNA from 1 species
GUCUAUGGCCAUGCCACCCUGAACGUGCCUGAUCUUGUCUAAUCUCAGAAGCUAAGCAUCACUGGGCCUGGUUAGUACUUGCAUGGGAGACCACCUAGGAAGACCAAGUGCUGUAGGUG